rnacentral:lncRNA from 1 species
AUCUCAUUCCACAGAGGAAGGAGGAAAGAGAGGGCAGAGGGAAAGAGGGCGGAAAACAAAAGGGGUUCAGGGCAGCCUUCACCGUGCCUCCCAGGAAGCCCCCACAGAACUCCCUCUUACACCUCACUGGCAGAGAAAUAGUUCCAAAGGCGUCUGGGAAAUGUAGUUUUUUUCCCAAAGGCAAUGAUUCCCAAUGGUAAAUCAUGGUUCUGUUCCUAAGGAAGAAAGUGGACUGCAUAGUGGGGCAAGCAGAUCACAGCCUGUGCCCUACGUGAGACGGCAUCUAUGGAUGUACAGGAUCUUCUGGAGGCUGAGGAGAGAGCACUUUAUAUGCGCUGAGACUUGGCUGCAGCCUCGACAUAUCCCGAGACACAGUCCUGUUUCUCAGCUUCUUGCAGGAUGUCAGCGAGGAGACUCCCGUACUGACCUGCGCUCCAAGAGCGUCUCCAUCCAUCGCCAAGGGGCUAGUGCCGGGUCUGGCCACUCCGUCACGUCAUUCCCUGAUAGCUUUGCUUGCAAUGCUUGCAUGCCCUCCUUCCUCCGUUUAUGUGCCCUGGAUCGUCCCUCUCCUUCCUCUGUGUCUUUCAGACAAAUGAAGAAACCGAGGCUCAGGGAAGGUCCCUGA